rnacentral:rRNA from 1 species
AUAUCAGUAAGCGCAGGAAAAUAAAACAAAAUGUGAUAGCCCUAGUAGCGGCGAGCGAAGAGGUUAGAGCCUGGCCUGAAUCCGAAAGGAGUUGUGGGCACUAGAUGGGCUUCUCUAAAUAUGGUCUGGAAUGACCUGGCGCAGACGGUGAAACCCCGGUGAGAGAAGCCCGUACUAAACAAGAGUAGUGCUGUUUGAGAGUAUAGCAUGAACACGGGAGGUAUGCUCCUUCCAAGGCUAAAUACAGAGUUGAGACCGAUAGCGCACAAGUA